rnacentral:rRNA from 1 species
GUGGAUUAGAUACCCGGGUAGUCCACGCCGUAAACGAUGGAUACUAGGUGUAGGAGGUAUCGACCCCUUCUGUGCCGGAGUUAACACAAUAAGUAUCCCACCUGGGGAGUACGGCCGCAAGGUUGAAACUCAAAGGAAUUGACGGGGGCCCGCACAAGCAGUGGAGUAUGUGGUUUAAUUCGAAGCAACGCGAAGAACCUUACCAGGGCUUGACAUACCAUUGACGUACCUAGAGAUAGGUAUUUCCUUCGGGACAAUGGAUACAGGUGGUGCACGGCUGUCGUCAACU